CACGUAGGGGGCAAGCGUUGUCCGGAUUUAUUGGGCGUAAAGAGCUCGUAGGCGGCUUUGUCAGUCGGGUGUGAAACCUCCAGGCUCAACCUGGAGCCGCCACCCGAUACUGCAAUAGCUAGAGUACGGAAGAGGAGAUUGGAAUUCCUGGUGUAGCGGUGAAAUGCGCAGAUAUCAGGAGGAACACCAACAGCGAAGGCAGAUCUCUGGGACGUAACUGACGCUGAGACGCGAAAGCGUGGGGAGCAAACAGG
rnacentral:rRNA from 1 species